rnacentral:rRNA from 1 species
GGGUCAGUAGGUUGGUCGUGCCACCGGUACGUACUGGUCUCACUGAUUCCUCCUUCCUGAAGAACCGUAAUGCCAUUAAUUUGGUGUUGCGGGGAAACAGGACUGUUACCUUGAAAAAAUUAGAGUGUUUAAAGCAAGCUAACGCUUGAAUACAUUAGCAUGGGAUAAUGAAAUAGGACGAUCGAUCCUAUUUUGUUGGUUUCUAGGAUUGACGUA